AUUGAACGCUGGCGGCAUGCCUUACACAUGCAAGUCGAACGGCAGCACGGGAGCAAUCCUGGUGGCGAGUGGCGAACGGGUGAGCAAUAUAUCGGAACGUGCCCAAUCGUGGGGGAUAACGUAGCGAAAGUUACGCUAAUACCGCAUACGAUCUACGGAUGAAAGCGGGGGAUCGCAAGACCUCGCGCCGUUGGAGCGGCCGAUAUCAGAUUAGGUUGUUGGUGGGGUAAAAGCCUACCAAGCCGAUGAUCUGUAGCUGGUCUGAGAGGACGACCAGCCACACUGGGACUGAGACACGGCCCAGACUCCUACGGGAGGCAGCAGUGGGGAAUUUUGGACAAUGGGCGCAAGCCUGAUCCAGCAAUGCCGCGUGCAGGACGAAGGCCUUCGGGUUGUAAACUGCUUUUGUACGGAACGAAACAGCUCUUUCUAAUACAAGGGGCUAAUGACGGUACCGUAAGAAUAAGCACCGGCUAACUACGUGCCAGCCGCCGCGGUAAUAC
rnacentral:rRNA from 1 species